rnacentral:rRNA from 1 species
GACGAACGCUGGCGGCGUGCUUAACACAUGCAAGUCGAACGGAAAGGCCCUGCUUUUGUGGGGUGCUCGAGUGGCGAACGGGUGAGUAACACGUGAGUAACCUGCCCUUGACUUUGGGAUAACUUCAGGAAACUGGGGCUAAUACCGGAUAGGAGCUCCUGCUGCACGGUGGGGGUUGGAAAGUUUCGGCGGUUGGGGAUGGGCUCGCGGCUUAUCAGCUGGUUGGUGGGGUAGUGGCUUACCAAGGCUUUGACGGGUAGCCGGCCUGAGAGGGUGACCGGCCACCUGGGGACUGGGAUACGGCCCGGACUCCUACGGGAGGCAGCAGUGGGGAAUGUUGCACGAUGGGCGGACGCCUGGUGCAGCAACGCCGCGUGCGGGAUGACGGCCUUCGGGUUGUAAACCGCUUUCGCCUGUGACGAAGCGUGGGUGACGGUAAUGGGUAAAGAAGCACCGGCUACCUACGU